rnacentral:rRNA from 1 species
UGGGGAAUUUUGCGCAAUGGACGAAAGUCUGACGCAGCGACGCCGCGUGUGCGAUGAAGGCCUUUGGGUCGUAAAGCACUGUCGACCGGGACGAAAACUCACGGACUAAUACUUCGUGAGUCUGACGGUACUGGUAAAGGAAGCACCGGCUAACUACGUGCCAGCAGCCGCGGUAAUACGUAGGGACCAAGCGUUGUUCGGAUUUACUGGGCGUAAAGGGCGCGUAGGCGGCGUGGUAAGUCAUCUGUGAAAUCUCCGAGCUUAACUCGGAACGGUCAGAUGAUACUGCUGUGCUAGAGUACAGAAGGGGCAAUCGGAAUUCUUGGUGUAGCGGUGAAAUGCGUAGAUAUCAAGAGGAACACCUGAGGUGAAGACGGGUUGCUGGGCUGACACUGACGCUGAGGCGCGAAAGCCAGGGGAGCAAACGGGAUUAGAUACCCCGGUAGUCCCUGAGCGGGCUGGCAAGGCGCAU